rnacentral:rRNA from 1 species
GGAGGGGGCUAGCGUUGUUCGGAAUUACUGGGCGUAAAGCGCGCGUAGGCGGGCUGGUCAGUUGGGGGUGAAAUCCCGGGGCUUAACCUCGGAACUGCCCUCAAUACUACCAGUCUAGAGAUCGAGAGAGGUAAGUGGAAUUCCUAGUGUAGAGGUGAAAUUCGUAGAUAUUAGGAAGAACACCAGUGGCGAAGGCGGCUUACUGGCUCGAUACUGACGCUGAGGCGCGAAAGCGUGGGGAGCAAACAGGAUUAGAUACCCUGGUAGUCCACGCCGUAAACGAUGGGUGCUAGUUGUCGGGCGGCAUGCCCGUUCGGUGACGCAGCAAACGCGUUAAGCACCCCGCCUGGGGACUACGGUCGCAAGACUA